rnacentral:rRNA from 1 species
CCUUGACAUACUAAGAACUUUCCAGAGAUGGAUUGGUGCCUUCGGGAACUUUAGAUACAGGUGCUGCAUGGCUGUCGUCAGCUCGUGUCGUGAGAUGUUGGGUUAAGUCCCGNAACGAGCGCAACCCUUUUUCCUUAUUUGCCAGCGGGUCAUGCCGGGAACUUUAAGGAUACUGCCAGUGACAAACUGGAGGAAGGCGGGGACGACGUCAAGUCAUCAUGGCCCUUACGGCCAGGGCUACACACGUGCUACAAUGGUCGGUACAAAGGGUUGCUACCUCGCGAGAGGAUGCUAAUCUCAAAAAGCCGAUCGUAGUCCGGAUCGCAGUCUGCAACUCGACUGCGUGAAGUCGGAAUCGCUAGUAAUCGCGGAUCAGAAUGCCGCGGUGAAUACGUUCCCGGGCCUUGUACACACCGCCCGUCACACCAUGGGAGUUUGUUGCACCAGAAGUAGGUAGUCUAACCGCAAGGAGGACGCUUACCACGGUGUGGCCGAUGACUGGGGUGAAGUCGUAACAAGGUAAGCGUAGAUGA